rnacentral:rRNA from 1 species
GUGGGGAAUAUUGGACAAUGGGGGGAACCCUGAUCCAGCCAUGCCGCGUGUGUGAAGAAGGCCUUUUGGUUGUAAAGCACUUUAAGCGAGGAGGAGGCGCCCUAGAUUAAUACUCUAGGAGCGUGGACGUUACUCGCAGAAUAAGCACCGGCUAACUCUGUGCCAGCAGCCGCGGUAAUACAGAGGGUGCGAGCGUUAAUCGGAUUUACUGGGCGUAAAGCGUACGUAGGCGGCUUUUUAAGUCGGAUGUGAAAUCCCUGAGCUUAACUUAGGAAUUGCAUUCGAUACUGGGAAGCUAGAGUAUGGGAGAGGAUGGUAGAAUUCCAGGUGUAGCGGUGAAAUGCGUAGAGAUCUGGAGGAAUACCGAUGGCGAAGGCAGCCAUCUGGCCUAAUACUGACGCUGAGGUACGAAAGCAUGGGGAGCAAACAGGAUUAGAAACCCCGGUAGUCC